AUGGACCACAGGUAGAGUGUCCUGAAUCUGGGAUACGUGUUUACUCUAUCGUUUGGUACACAGUGUAUUUUGAGCUGUCCUGUCAGGUAGACCUUGAUGUGCUGGACUCCGAUGGUCUCGUUGAAGCGCUGAGGGACCAGCAGGCGCAGCAGGCCCCUCAGGUCUGGAGUGUGGUACAGAGACACCCGCAUCUGAGAGUCGAAGCGCUGCAGCAACGGCAGCAGCAUGGUCCUCGAGUUGAUCUGCCCUGCACGGAAAACAUGAUCGGGAUGAUGAGGGAGUGGCGUCAACCAGCAACAACAAGGAGAGCUCAAGGGAAAUGGCGACAACCUCGUGAGCCGCGAGUAAAGUCCAGCAAUAUGGAGACUUUGAGGUCGGGAGCAUCACUGUUGUCCUGUGAGCGCUGUAGAGCUUCCUCCAUACAGUCCACCUGAACAAAACACACAGAAGAACCGGGUCUCUUACCCUCCUCUCCGGUCCCGGGCCCGGAAGAGCCGGUCAGAUAUCCGGGUGAAGACGCCGCUGAUGGCCGGAGAAUAGACCGAGUACACCAGCCUCCUCCAGGACAUGGGAGCAGCCAUUGCUGC